rnacentral:rRNA from 1 species
CAGCCGCCGCGGUAAUACGAAGGGGGCUAGCGUUGUUCGGAUUUACUGGGCGUAAAGCGCACGUAGGCGGACUUUUAAGUCAGGGGUGAAAUCCCGGGGCUCAACCCCGGAACUGCCUUUGAUACUGGAAGUCUUGAGUAUGGUAGAGGUGAGUGGAAUUCCGAGUGUAGAGGUGAAAUUCGUAGAUAUUCGGAGGAACACCAGUGGCGAAGGCGGCUCACUGGACCAUUACUGACGCUGAGGUGCGAAAGCGUGGGGAGCAAACAGGAUUAGAUACCCCCGUAGUCCCUGUCUCUUAUAA